rnacentral:lncRNA from 1 species
AUGCCACUUUACUUACGCUGGCCCCAACAAUGUGUUUUAAUCACUGUGUUUUUAAAUAGUUUUUUUGUGGCGACAACUAGACAGCCUCAGACUGAUGGAACACACAUUGAAGUGGCUGGACAGCGUCCACGACCCAGACUCUGCAGACUGCCACAUACGUCGACAUCAGCUCAAAGUGUAGCACCGGGUAAUGAGAACACCUGGACGGCACAGCAGCAUGGAACACAUGGAAACAUGGGACAGAAUGACAGUUUUCUCAAUUUGUUUUUCUACCUGCACUGUUUGAUGGAGUGGUUUCGUUGGAUCGUUCAGGAGAAGGAUUCACCCCAGGAAAGGGUUUGA